GAAUACGAUCAUACUAUUAGGAAUACACCACAUCCCGUCCGAUCUGUGAAGUUAAGCCUGAUC
rnacentral:rRNA from 1 species